UGUUGUCUCUCUUGAGUGGAUCCUGAGUACGACGGAGCACGUGAAAUUCCGUCGGAAUCUGGGAGGACCAUCUCCUAAGGCUAAAUACUCUCUAGUGACCGAUAGUGAACCAGUACCGUGAGGGAAAGGUGAAAAGCACCCCGGAAGGGGAGUGAAAUAGAACCUGAAACCGUGUGCUUACAAGUAGUCAGAGCCCGUUAAUGGGUGAUGGCGUGCCUUUUGUAGAAUGAACCGGCGAGUUACGAUUUGAUGCAAGGUUAAGCAGUAAAUGUGGAGCCGUAGCGAAAGCGAGUCUGAAUAGGGCGUUUAGUAUUUGGUCGUAGACCCGAAACCAGGUGAUCUACCCUUGGUCAGGUUGAAGUUCAGGUAACACUGAAUGGAGGACCGAACCGACUUACGUUGAAAAGUGAGCGGAUGAACUGAGGGUAGCGGAGAAAUUCCAAUCGAACCUGGAGAUAGCUGGUUCUCUCCGAAAUAGCUUUAGGGCUAGCCUCAAGUGAUGAUUAUUGGAGGUAGAGCACUGUUUGGACGAGGGGCCCCUCUCGGGUUACCGAAUUCAGACAAACUCCGAAUGCCAAUUAAUUUAACUUGGGAGUCAGAACAUGGGUGAUAAGGUCCGUGUUCGAAAGGGAAACAGCCCAGACCACCAGCUAAGGUCCCAAAAUAUAUGUUAAGUGGAAAAGGAUGUGGCGUUGCCCAGACAACUAGGAUGUUGGCUUAGAAGCAGCCAUCAUUUAAAGAGUGCGUAAUAGCUCACUAGUCGAGUGACACUGCGCCGAAAAUGUACCGGGGCUAAACAUAUUACCGAAGCUGUGGAUUGUCCUUUGGACAAUGGUAGGAGAGCGUUCUAAGGGCGUUGAAGCAUGAUCGUAAGGACAUGUGGAGCGCUUAGAAGUGAGAAUGCCGGUGUGAGUAGCGAAAGACGGGUGAGAAUCCCGUCCACCGAUUGACUAAGGUUUCCAGAGGAAGGCUCGUCCGCUCUGGGUUAGUCGGGUCCUAAGCUGAGGCCGACAGGCGUAGGCGAUGGAUAACAGGUUGAUAUUCCUGUACCACCUAUAAUCGUUUUAAUCGAUGGGGGGACGCAGUAGGAUAGGCGAAGCGUGCGAUUGGAUUGCACGUCUAAGCAGUAAGGCUGAGUAUUAGGCAAAUCCGGUACUCGUUAAGGCUGAGCUGUGAUGGGGAGAAGACAUUGUGUCUUCGAGUCGUUGAUUUCACACUGCCGAGAAAAGCCUCUAGAUAGAAAAUAGGUGCCCGUACCGCAAACCGACACAGGUAGUCAAGAUGAGAAUUCUAAGGUGAGCGAGCGAACUCUCGUUAAGGAACUCGGCAAAAUGACCCCGUAACUUCGGGAGAAGGGGUGCUCUUUAGGGUUAACGCCCAGAAGAGCCGCAGUGAAUAGGCCCAAGCGACUGUUUAUCAAAAACACAGGUCUCUGCUAAACCGUAAGGUGAUGUAUAGGGGCUGACGCCUGCCCGGUGCUGGAAGGUUAAGAGGAGUGGUUAGCUUCUGCGAAGCUACGAAUCGAAGCCCCAGUAAACGGCGGCCGUAACUAUAACGGUCCUAAGGUAGCGAAAUUCCUUGUCGGGUAAGUUCCGACCCGCACGAAAGGCGUAACGAUUUGGGCACUGUCUCAACGAGAGACUCGGUGAAAUCAUAGUACCUGUGAAGAUGCAGGUUACCCGCGACAGGACGGAAAGACCCCGUGGAGCUUUACUGUAGCCUGAUAUUGAAAUUCGGCACAGCUUGUACAGGAUAGGUAGGAGCCUUUGAAACGUGAGCGCUAGCUUACGUGGAGGCGCUGGUGGGAUACUACCCUAGCUGUGUUGGCUUUCUAACC
rnacentral:rRNA from 1 species